rnacentral:rRNA from 1 species
AUUGAACGCUGGCGGCAGGCCUAACACAUGCAAGUCGAGCGAGUGGCGGACGGGUGAGUAAUGUAUGGGGAUCUGCCUGAUGGAGGGGGAUAACUACUGGAAACGGUAGCUAAUACCGCAUACCAUCAGAUGAACCCAUAUGGGAUUAGCUUGUAGGUGAGGUAACGGCUCACCUAGGCGACGAUCCCUAGCUGGUCUGAGAGGAUGAUCAGCCACACUGGGACUGAGACACGGCCCAGACUCCUACGGGAGGCACAAGUGGGGAAUAUUGCACAAGGGGCGAAAGCCGGAUGCAGCAAUGCCGCGGGUAUGAAGAAGGCCUUCGGGUUGUAAAGUACGUUCAGUCGGGAGGCGUUACCGACAGAAGAAGCACCGGCUAACUCCGUGCCAGCAGCCGCGGUAAUUC